GAGGAAAGAGGGAGGCGUGCCUAAUACAUGCAAGUCGAGCGAACGGACGAGAAGCUUGCUUCUCUGAUGUUAGCGGCGGACGGGUGAGUAACACGUGGAUAACCUACCUAUAAGACUGGGAUAACUUCGGGAAACCGGAGCUAAUACCGGAUAAUAUUAUGAACCGCAUGGUUCAAAAGUGAAAGACGGUCUUGCUGUCACUUAUAGAUGGAUCCGCGCUGCAUUAGCUAGUUGGUAAGGUAACGGCUUACCAAGGCAACGAUGCAUAGCCGACCUGAGAGGGUGAUCGGCCACACUGGAACUGAGACACGGUCCAGACUCCUACGGGAGGCAGCAGUAGGGAAUCUUCCGCAAUGGGCGAAAGCCUGACGGGGCAACGCCGCGUGAGUGAUGAAGGUCUUCGGAUCUUAAAACUCUGUUAUUAGGGAGGAACAUAUGUGUAAGUAACUGUGCACAUCUUGACGGUACCUAAUCAGAAAGCCACGGCUAACUACGUG
rnacentral:rRNA from 1 species